UAGGGAAUAUUGGGCAAUGGGUGAGAGCCUGACCCAGCCAUGCCGCGUGCAGGAAGACGGCCCUUCGGGUUGUAAACUGCUUUUAUGAGGGAACAAAAGGGUCCUGCGGGACAGAUUGCGUGUACCUCACGAAUAAGCACCGGCUAACUCCGUGCCAGCAGCCGCGGUAAUACGGAGGGUGCAAGCGUUGUCCGGAUUUAUUGGGUUUAAAGGGUACGUAGGCGGAAGGCUAAGUCUGGGGUGAAAGCCCAUCGCUCAACGAUGGAACUGCCCUGGAUACUGGUCAUCUUGAGUGCCGUAGAGGUAGGCGGAAUUCAUGGUGUAGCGGUGAAAUGCAUAGAUACCAUGAGGAACACCGAUAGGGAAGCCAGCUUACUAGACGGUUACUGACGCUGAGGUACGAAAGCGUGGGGAGCGAACAGGAUUAGAUACCCCCGUAGUCC
rnacentral:rRNA from 1 species